rnacentral:rRNA from 1 species
CCAAGAGUUCACAUCGACGGGGAGGUUUGGCACCUCGAUGUCGGCUCAUCGCAUCCUGGGGCUGUAGUCGGUCCCAAGGGUUGGGCUGUUCGCCCAUUAAAGCGGUACGCGAGCUGGGUUCAGAACGUCGUGAGACAGUUCGGUCCCUAUCCGUCGUGGGCGUAGGAAAUUUGAGAGGAGCUGUCCUUAGUACGAGAGGACCGGGAUGGACAUACCUCUGGUGUACCAGUUGUCGUGCCAACGGCAUAGCUGGGUAGCUAUGUGUGGACGGGAUAAGUGCUGAAAGCAUCUAAGCAUGAAGCCCCCCUCAAGAUGAGAUUUCCCAACUUCGGUUAUAAGAUCCCUCAAAGAUGAUGAGGUUAAUAGGUUCGAGGUGGAAGCAUGGUGACAUGUGGAGCUGACGAAUACUAAUCGAUCGAAGACUUAAUCAA